rnacentral:misc_RNA from 1 species
CAGAAAUCUGCCUGCCAUUGCC